UUUCCGUAGGUGAACCUGCGGAAGGAUCAUUAUCGAGUUUUGACUGGGCUGUAGCUGGCCUUCCGAGGCAUGUGCACGCCCUGCUCAUCCACUCUACACCUGUGCACUUACUGUGGGUAUCAGAUCGUGAAGCGUGCUCUUUUACCGGAGCUUGUGAAGCGUGUCUGUGCCUGCGUUUAUCACAAACACUAUAAAGUAUCAGAAUGUGUAUUACGACGUAACGCAUCUAUAUACAACUUUCAGCAACGGAUCUCUUGGCUCUC
rnacentral:misc_RNA from 1 species